rnacentral:rRNA from 1 species
AUUGAACGCUGGCGGCAUGCCUUACACAUGCAAGUCGAGCGGCAGCGCGGGAGCAAUCCUGGCGGCGAGCGGCGAACGGGUGAGUAAUGCUUCGGAAUCUGCCCUUCAGUGGGGAAUAACCAGUCGAAAGACUGGCUAAUACCGCAUACGAACUGAGGUUGAAAGCAGGGGAUCGCAAGACCUUGCGCUGAUGGAUGAGCCGAAGUCGGAUUAGCUUGUUGGUGGGGUAAUGGCCUACCAAGGCGACGAUCCGUAGCUGGUCUGAGAGGACGACCAGCCACACUGGGACUGAGACACGGCCCAGACUCCUACGGGAGGCAGCAGUGGGGAAUAUUGCGCAAUGGGGGAAACCCUGACGCAGCCACGCCGCGUGGGUGAUGAAGGCCUCGGUU